rnacentral:rRNA from 1 species
GACGAACGCUGGCGGCGUGCUUAACACAUGCAAGUCGAUGAUGGGAAGCUAAGCCUAGCUUAGAAGAAGUCAUGGCGGACGGGUGAGUAACGUGUAAAGAGCUUGCCCUCUAGACUGGGAUAACAGAUAGAAAUGUCUGAUAAUACCGGACAUUAUUGUUACAUGGCAUCAUGUAGGAAUGAAAGGAUAAGAUUGCUAGAGGAGAGCUUUGCAUCCUAUUAGCUAGUUGGUAAGGUAGUGGCUUACCAAGGCGAUGAUAGGUAGCUGGCCUGAGAGGGUGGACGGCCACAAGGGGACUGAGAUACGGCCCUU